GAUGAACGCUGGCGGCGUGCCUAAUACAUGCAAGUCGAGCGAACGGACGAGAAGCUUGCUUCUCUGAUGUUAGCGGCGGACGGGUGAGUAACACGUGGAUAACCUACCUAUAAGACUGGGAUAACUUCGGGAAACCGGAGCUAAUACCGGAUAAUAUUUUGAACCGCAUGGUUCAAAAGUGAAGGACGGUCUUGCUGUCACUUAUAGAUGGAUCCGCGCUGCAUUAGCUAGUUGGUAAGGUAACGGCUUACCAAGGCAACGAUGCAUAGCCGUCCUGAGAGGGUGAUCGGCCACACUGGAACUGAGACACGGUCCAGACUCCUACGGGAGGCAGCAGUAGGGAAUCUUCCGCAAUGGGCGAAAGCCUGACGGAGCAACGCCGCGUGAGUGAUGAAGGUCUUCGGAUCGUAAAACUCUGUUAUUAGGGAAGAACAUAUGUGUAAGUAACUGUGCACAUCUUGACGGUACCUAAUCAGAAAGCCACGGCUAACUACGUG
rnacentral:rRNA from 1 species